UGGCAUCGUCUUGGGUCACCACUCGCGCGAACUUUGGAUCUGAACGUGUGGCUGUGAACCUGCUGCUACUUUCUGUCCCGUGCUUGUGAACGCGGAAGUGACAUCGGUCGGUAACACCCUCUGCUUGUCGCCCAUCUGGAAUUAAUCUACACACCUCAGGACGGGAAAGGGAAUGCGAUCUUUCCUACUCAACAUUUUAUUGAUUUGUCCGCAUCUUCCUUUGCUAGUCGACGCCAACCAAUCUUGCCGAAACGAAGGGUUUCAGGAGUAUACGGUGCGACUGAUUCUAAAGAGUAUGGCGGGAGCCGUGUGCGAACAAGAAAAUACAGCUAGUACAGAGCUGGCAGGGGAGCUGGAGGUGUUACAGGCCAUCUAUGGGGACGAAGUUCAGAGCGUGUCCGAUGGGAUUCACACCGAAGUUUUAAUGACCCUAGGGCAAGAGGGAAUCGGACUGCAGUUCAUGUUGACAGGUUUGUUAUACGAAUAUCAUAAACUACGUAGCAUAUUUUUUGUACUUUUAUCAUCAGUUUAAUGACAGAGGUUUAAAACAUUGAUUAUAAAAAUUUGAAAUUCAAACAUGCAUUAUCAAUCUUCAUUAUUGCAAUCAUAAUUUAUUGUUGUUAUAACGUAUUUUCAUCAUUGGGUGGGACGGCUACUCCACUGGUCCAUCCAUAGUGUGCCCAGUUCUAUUCUCUCAUAUAGAUUGCAAUUGUUGCAAAAAUACUCAGUGUAGAAACGUUGGUGUUGUAAUUCUUCAAACAUUUUACGUCGGUAGUUCUUCGCGUUCGAUUCGCUUAGCAAAUCAAAAUAACUAAAAAAAGUAUAACUGCAUCGGCCGGGAAUCGAACCCGGGCCUCCCGCGUGGCAGGCGAGAAUUCUACCACUGAA